GCCCGUGUGAUGGAAUUGGUAGACAUACAGGACUUAAAAUCCUGGGGCAGCAAUGCCGUGCCGGUUCGAUUCCGGCCACGGGUA
rfam:Turneriella parva DSM 21527, complete genome.